rnacentral:rRNA from 1 species
AACCUAGAAAGCCACGGGUAAAUUACGGGCCCGCAGCCGCGGUAAUACGUAGGUGGCAAGCGUUGUCCGGAAUUAUUGGGCGUAAAGGGCUCGCAGGCGGUUUUUUAAGUUUGAUGUGAAAGCCCCCGGCUCAACCGGGGAGGGUCAUUGGAAACUGGGAAACUUGAGUGCAGAAGAGGAGAGUGGAAUUCCACGUGUAGCGGUGAAAUGCGUAGAGAUGUGGAGGAACACCAGUGGCGAAGGCGACUCUCUGGUCUGUAACUGACGC